GACGUAGGGCGCGAGCGUUGUCCGGAUUUAUUGGGCGUAAAGAGCUCGUAGGCGGUUUGUCGCGUCGUUCGUGAAACUCACAGCUUAACUGUGAGCUUGCGGUCGAUACGGGCAGGCUAGAGUUCGGUAGGGGAGACUGGAAUUCCUGGUGUAGCGGUGAAAUGCGCAGAUAUCAGGAGGAACACCGGUGGCGAAGGCGCCACUCUGGGCCGAAACUGACGCUGAGAAGCGAAAGCAUGGGGAGCGAACAGG
rnacentral:rRNA from 1 species